GUCUACUCCAAUCACCUGACUUUUCACUGUCUACGUCCCCGAGCGAUCUCCUUCAUCCUCUCCGUGCAGUGAAAGGAGCAGCAGAAGCCUUACGUGGUUUCACCGAUCCCCGGCAAGAGGAUGAGGAUCUGCUGACAAAGUGAGGAGCCAAUGAUGUCUGGAUGUCAGACUCUGUAGAGAAGAUGGAGCUGGAGGAAGAUCUGGUCUCUGGACCCGAUGAAGAAGAAAAGACAACAGAGAAGACGUCACUCAGCGUUUUUAUAAUCCAAUUUUCAACAUGCAUCAUGUCUGUUGGUUCCCUACUGCGUGAAAUAGGUGAUUACCGGGCCACCAUUUACUCUUCUUCAAUUAUUUACGGGCAUUUUUAUUUACAGUUGAAAACAUUUAAUAUUGUAACAGAUAAUCUGGGAAAAUCUCCUAUAUUAAGAUCUAAUUACGGUAUUAUGCGGCACGGAAAAUUUACAACACAGCGGCAUUAAUCUUUUCUAACAGCUCGCGAUAUCAACUUGCAAAGUUCAACACCCAGUGAG